CUCUUGGUUUGGGUUUCUUGAGCUGAAACUGCAACUUGAUAGAAUAAGAAAGCUGGGCCUCGGGCAGAGCUGUAUAAUCCUCCUCUUACUGUCCUCGGAGGCCUGGUACACUGUAAAUAAGCAGACAACUUGCUUGGGUUGUGCAUCCCAAAGUAACUUGAUGUUCUUGGCUAUCUGAACAGCACAGCUUGUCCUCGCUCACACUGAAUGGUUUAAAACAUGCCAUGGAUGAUGAUAGCACUCUCUUCAGUUGGCCAGACCUUCAGGAGACUGAAAGAGAUCGUGGUCCUGUGCAGCAGCUGAGAGCAAUGAGUGACUUCAGUGCAGUCACCACUCAGCUGUGAAAGCGCCCAUGAGCAUACAACAAGACCAAGGAGAACAAAAGGAGAAGUGAGAAACUGAAGCAAGUAGCUUCUUAGUUGCCAGUGCUUGGCUACAAAUGCUUUUAAGGUUGUAAACUUAGAAGUGAAGAAUAUGAACUGAUAACAGAACUUGCUUUCUAAAGAGUACUUGCCUCUAUUGGUACUGUCUACCCUGCCCCAGUGCCUGUCUUGCAGUACUGUUUUGUGUUAAUGAAAUCGAUGUUGUUGAAUAUAGAUGGUGAGCUAAGUGACUCUAAAUGCCAGUGAAUGCUACCAGCCUAAACAUGACACGCAAAAUUAUUCUAGGCUAUGAAUAGACUGCAGGUAGAGGAAAUAAUGUGGAAAGGAAGGGGUUGGUUAGGAUGAAGAGUGAUGCAUUUAACCCUACAUAGAUCUAGUGUGGACAGAGCUCUGGAAAUGCUUAUUCAGCCAGCAUCAGAUGCAAAUGCAAAGCAGAUAUUUCCUUCUUUCAAGACCAGAAGAAAGUUGAUACCACAUGAAUGGAUGCUCCCAAACAUCUCUACUCCCAUACUCAAUGUGCUGGAAGAUGUCUAUCAAUCCACACCAAGCAUGCUACGUCAGUCCUGAGAGCAAAGAGGAGGAGGAGAUGACUGUAAAGCAGUUUGAGAGACAGAGGAUGGAAAGCAGGUCAGAGGAGGUCAUGGGUAAAAUCUGCAGACCAACUGAGGCUGAGCAGAGGAGAGUUGGAGAAGAAACAACAACCAACAGGAAAUGAAGCUACAACAAUAAACCUUAUCCUGAAAAAUGCCA
rnacentral:lncRNA from 1 species